rnacentral:piRNA from 1 species
UCAAAACAUUGGAUCAUCAGAUCAUCA